UGGGGAAUAUUGGGCAAUGGAGGCAACUCUGACCCAGCAACGCCGCGUGAAUGAUGAAGGUCUUCGGAUUGUAAAGUUCUUUUCUAAGGGAAGAAGAAAGUGACGGUACCUUAGGAAUAAGCCUCGGCUAACUACGUGCCAGCAGCCGCGGUAAUACGUAGGAGGCGAGCGUUAUCCGGAAUGACUGGGCGUAAAGGGUGCGUAGGUGGUUUGGCAAGUUGGUAGCGUAACUCCAAGGCUCAACCUUGGAACUACUACCAAAACUGUUGGACUUGAGUGCAGGAGGGGCAACCGGAAUUCCUAGUGUAGCGGUGGAAUGCGUAGAUAUUAGGAGGAACACCAGUGGCGAAGGCGGGUUGCUAGACUGUAACUGACACUGAGGCACGAAAGCGUGGGGAGCAAACAGG
rnacentral:rRNA from 1 species